rnacentral:rRNA from 1 species
AUGAACGCUAGCGACAGGCCUAACACAUGCAAGUCGAGGGGCAUCACAAGGAGUAAUCUGAGGUGGCGACCGGCGCACGGGUGAGUAACACGUAUGCAACCUACCUGUAAGCGGGGAAUAACCCGUUGAAAGACGGACUAAUACCGCGUAACACUGCAUUUCCGCAUGGGGAUUCAGUUAAACAUUAAUGGCUUACAGAUGGGCAUGCGCAUGAUUAGCUAGUUGGAGAGGUAACGGCUCCCCAAGGCAACGAUCAUUAGGGGUUCUGAGAGGAAGGUCCCCCACACUGGUACUGAGACACGGACCAGACUCCUACGGGAGGCAGCAGUGAGGAAUAUUGGUCAAUGGGCGAGAGCCUGAACCAGCCAAGUCGCGUGCAGGAAGAAUGUCCUAUGGAUUGUAAACUGCUUUUGCAGGGGAAUAAAGUGCGGCACGUGUGCUGUUUUGUAUGUACUCUGCGAAUAAGGAUCGGCUAACUCCGUG